rnacentral:antisense_RNA from 1 species
CUUGAGCGCCCCCACCAGCAGCGGGGUGCCGCCGGACCGUUCCUGGCCGUAGGUGGCGAGGAGUGCCUGUGCCUC